UACAGAGGCCUCGAGCGUUAAUCGGAAUCACUGGGCUUAAAGGGUGCGUAGGCGGCGCUGCAAGUGCCUUGUGAAAUCCCAUCGCUUAACGAUGGAACUGCUCGGUAGACUGCAGUGCUUGAGGUUGGUAGGGGCUGCCGGAACUCUAGGUGGAGCGGUGAAAUGCGUAGAUAUCUAGAGGAACGCCCAAGGCGAAGGCAGGCAGCUGGGCCAAUUCUGACGCUGAGGCACGAAAGCGUGGGGAGCAAACAGG
rnacentral:rRNA from 1 species